rnacentral:rRNA from 1 species
UACAGAGGUGACAAACGUUGUCCGGAAUUACUGGGCGUAAAGGGCGCGUAGGCGGCCUGCUAAGUCGGAUGUGAAAUCCCUCGGCUCAACCGAGGAACUGCAUCCGAUACUGGCGGGCUUGAAUCCGGGAGAGGGAUGUGGAAUUCCAGGUGUAGCGGUGAAAUGCGUAGAUAUCUGGAGGAACACCGGUGGCGAAGGCGGCAUCCUGGACCGGCAUUGACGCUGAGACGCGAAAGCGUGGGGAGCAAACAGG